GAUGAACGCUAGCGGCAGGCUUAAUACAUGCAAGUCGAGGGGCAGCAGGUCUGUAGCAAUACAGAUGCUGGCGACCGGCAAACGGGUGCGGAACACGUACACAACCUUCCUUUAAGUGGGGAAUAGCCCAGGGAAACUUGGAUUAAUACCCCGUAAAUUAUGAAGUGGCAUCACUUUAUAAUUAAAGCUCAGGCGCUUAAUGAUGGGUGUGCGGCUGAUUAGGUAGUUGGCGGGGCGAACGGCCCACCAAGCCUGCGAUCAGUAACUGGUGUGAGAGCACGACCAGUCACACGGGCACUGAGACACGGGCCCGGACUCCUACGGGAGGCAGCAGUAAGGAAUAUUGGUCAAUGGACGCAAGU
rnacentral:rRNA from 1 species